GCCGGUUAUGGUUUUGUAAUGUAGAUAGAUGUAUCACACGUUUCCCAUAAAAGACAUUCACAAACUUAUAAUAGUUUGUCGAAAGUAUGUACUCACAUUAUUUAUGCAUAUAUACUUCUUUCAAAACAACUUCAUCAACGAAUUCCGUAGCAGAUGAUUAAUGAACAUGUUAAUAUGUUACAAGAAUAAGAUUUCUCAAAUACACAUUUGGAGCUAGUGAAGAUUGAAGAUCUGAUGAACUUAAAGAUGAUACAGCUAGUAUUGAGCUCUUCAGUUGUGUAGGUUAGGUUACCUAUCUAGACAUCAUCGUCAUUCGCCAGCUCAAAUAUCACCAAAGUUUUUAUUUGCUUUAGGUAAAAUUAAAUCCGAUAGAUUAACAUUUUGAUUGAUAAUUCAUUUGCAAUAGACUACAAUGAUGUUUUCUGGAAUGAUUUUUGAGGAUCAUCGAGAAUUAGUAACAAAAUAUAACUUCCAAUUCAUAGCUGAAGACUAUAACGAAUUUAGUUAAGUUAUAAUAAAUCAAUAGAUUUUUAAAAAUAAAACCGUUUACCAUGUACAUGUUUAAUACUAAAUCUUUUCGUUUAAGUACACCAAUCAACAAGUUUAAGAAUCUAAUAAUCUCUUUCCUUAAUUUCCCAAUAAAAUGAGCAAUGUUUAUCGUGGUGUCCUCCAACCGUAAUGAUUUAAUAAUACAUUAAAUUUUACUCCUCACAACGGUGGUCAUUAGGUAGAACAGUUAACAAAGUCAACGAUCAUUUGACUUUCAUCACACUUGAAUGUUAUAAAAAUGUUUGAUGUGUUCAAAUUUUCUUUUUUCUCCCUGUAUUGCUGGUCUUAUAAUAUACACUAUUUAAUAUUUUCUGUAUCAUUCAAGACACUAUUCAUAAUUCGAUGAAAGGUAUGUAGUAUAUACUUUGUCAGUUUUUCUGUUUUAUAUAUUGUAUGUGUCUAAAUAUCUUUUAUUUGUGUGUAUAAAUAUUUCUACAAGCUAAAGCAGUUAAUUUAUGAAGAUAAAAUUUAAAACAGUAGAGUGAGACGUCAAAAUUUACUUAAUAUCGUAAGUUUCUAUAACUUAUGUUAUUAAAAGACAUUAGAAAGGUUACGAUAAAACAAUAUCAAUAUUGUCCAUUUUAAUAUAUAGACUGUAUACUAUAUACGUAUAAUAUUGAAUGUAUAAUACAUAUACUGUAUAAUUCGGUUUGUUUUCAUAUAAUUUAUUAUAAAUAUAUAUAUUUUAUUACCUUGGUUGUUUAUCUAA